CUAGCCUACAUACUGUAGGCAUAUGCCUAGUUCAAGGAAAACAGGCCAUGCCAUAUCCAGACUUCCUCGGCUUCCUCAAAUAUUCAUUUACUCUAUCUUUUAUGCUUUUUCGGGUUGCAUCACUCAAGGAGAGAAACAUCAGAGACACAUUUUUUAUGAUGAACACUCGGAGAUUCACUGGUAAGCCAAAUUUGCCUCUGGAUCCAUCCCAAUUGGUAUUCUGUGCCCACUCGUGAUACCUCUCUUUGGUUACGCAUUCUUGGAAUAGCAAAACAGCAUAACGGUCCGGACGGCCCAUGCUGUGCUCGGUGAGCAGUUCGUUACGUUCUGGUGUCAGUCGAGGAAUGGAAAUGUCAGGGUGAACUGACGAACUGGAUGUCGGAGGUGGAGUUCCAGAGCUCACAUGGAUUGGCAUGAAUUUUAACUCCAUCAUCUCUUCCCUCGCCCUCUUCAACGAGCCAUUCUCUGUCUGACUCUCCACCAAUGCGGCCUGGCACUCUGUCAAUGUCACCUGGCUCUGGACCAAUGCAUCAGCCGUCGCCCGUAUCUCUGCCCUCAGAGAAUGUUUCUCUUUCUGCUGGUCUACCUUCAAUGAUGAGCUCACUCAAUCUUAACAAUCACAAGUGACUGUUCUACACAAAUGCUGCAUACACAAACACGUUUUAAGAAUCUAGCAAAACUCACCGCUUUCUUUGGAACCAUGCGUUUUUUCAUUGGGUCGAAACUACAGUACAGAACGAGAACACACAUGGUUAAUGUUCUGUAAAACAAAAAGCCUACAAGACCUUCAAAAACAAAUACUGUUUCUUACCGAGCCUUAUUCUUAUAAAUCCACCCAUGUUUCUUCAACUGCCUUCUGACUGUGAUUAGAGCAAUGUUGAUGUUGUGCUGUGAUGCCAGCAGAUUCCUGAUCUCCUUCGCAUAUCGCUCAUCAUCUUCAUCAAUCAGACAGUGAGGACAGACACACUCUCCUUCCACACUGAGCCCAAACCAGAGUCACUGGUUCCUGAUUGUGACAGUGGAGUCCAGUGUGCAGCGCAGGAUCCAGAGAUGGCAUCAGUAAAGCUGGAAGACUGCAGUCAAACACUGGGGCUGAUUAAAGAUGAAGAUGAGGAAGAGAUUGGGAAAUAUAUUCCUCAUGGUGAGAGAAGCCUCACUCCUGCUCUGACUGUGAAAGUGCUUUAUUACAAAACCUAAACUAACCAUUAUUGUUUUGUAAUGUGCCAUGUUUGUUAUUAUUAAACUCACCAUCUGCACCUGC